rnacentral:rRNA from 1 species
UACGUAGGUGGCAAGCGUUGUCCGGAUUUAUUGGGCGUAAAGGGUGCGUAGGCGGCCUUAUAAGUCAGUGCUGAAAUAUCCCGGCUUAACCGGGAGGGUGGCAUUGAUACUGUAGGGCUUGAGUAAAGUUGAGGUUGGCGGAAUUGACGGUGUAGCGGUGAAAUGCUUAGAUAUCGUCAAGAACACCGAUAGUGAAGACAGCUAACUAAGCUUUAACUGACGCUGAGGCACGAAAGUGUGGGGAUCAAACAGG